rnacentral:tRNA from 1 species
GGAGGUGUCGCCUAAUGGUAUGGCAGCAGUCUACUAAACUGUCGAGCAAUGAACUCGUAUAGGUUCGACUCCUAUCACCUCCG